rnacentral:rRNA from 1 species
UACAGAGGGUGCGAGCGUUGUUCGGAAUUAUUGGGCGUAAAGCGCAUGUAGGCGGAAGCUUAAGUCGCGUGUGAAAGCCCCAGGCUCAACCUGGGAAGUGCGCGCGAAACUGGGUUUCUUGAGUGCUGGAGAGGGUGGCGGAAUUCCCGGUGUAGAGGUGAAAUUCGUAGAUAUCGGGAGGAACACCAGAGGCGAAGGCGGCCACCUGGACGGACACUGACGCUGAGACGCGAAAGCGUGGGGAGCAAACAGG